rnacentral:rRNA from 1 species
UUCACGCAUGCUACAAUGGCCGGGUACCAAAGGGACGUGCGAUACCGCGAGGUGGAGCGAAUCCCAGAAAGCCGGUCUCAGUUCGGAUUGGGGUCUGCAACUCGACCCCAUGAAGUCGGAGUCGCUAGUAAUCGCAGAUCAGCAACGCUGCGGUGAAUACGUUCCCGGGCCUU